rnacentral:rRNA from 1 species
GUCCACGCCCUAAACGAUGUCUACUAGUUGUCGGGUUUUAAUUAACUUGGUAACGCAGCUAACGCGUGAAGUAGACCGCCUGGGGAGUACGGUCGCAAGAUUAAAACUCAAAGGAAUUGACGGGACCCGCACAAGCGGUGGAUGAUGUGGAUUAAUUCGAUGCAACGCGAAAACCUUACCUACCCUUGACAUGGAUGGAAUCCCGGAGAGAUUUGGGAGUGCCCGAAAGGGAACCAUCACACAGGUGCUGCAUGGCUGUCGU